rnacentral:rRNA from 1 species
CAGUCGCCACGGGAAAACGUAGGGGGCAAGCGUUGUCCGGAAUCAUUGGGCGUAAAGAGCGUGUAGGCGGCUUGGUAAGUCUGCUGUGAAAGUCCAGGGCUCAACCCUUGAAUGCCGGUGGAAACUGUCAAGCUAGAGUCCGGAAGAGGCGAGUGGAAUUCCUGGUGUAGCGGUGAAAUGCGCAGAUAUCAGGAGGAACACCAAUGGCGAAGGCAGCUCGCUGGGACGGUACUGACGCUGAGACGCGAAAGCGUGGGGAGCAAACAGGAUUAGAUACCCCUGUAGUCCCUGUCUCUUAUAC